AUUGAACGCUGGCGGCAGGCCUAACACAUGCAAGUCGAACGAGUGGCGGACGGGUGAGUCGUGUCUGGGAAACUGCCCGAUUACGGGGGAUAACUACUGGAAACGGUAGCUAAUACCGCAUACCAUCGGAUGUGCCCAGAUGGGAUUAGCUAGUAGGUGGGGGAAAGGCUCACCUAGGCCACGAUCCCCAGCUGGUCUGAGAGGCUGACCAGCCACCAUGGAACGGAGACAGGGGCCAGCCUCCUACGGGAGGCAGAAGUGGGAAAUAUUGGACAAUGGGGGCAAGCCUGACGAAGCAAUGCCGGGUGUAUGAAGAAGGCCUUCGGGUGGUAAAGUACUUUCAGAGAGGAGGCGUUACCCGCAGAAGAAGCACCGGCUAACUCCGUGCCAGCAGCCGCGGUAAUUC
rnacentral:rRNA from 1 species